AACGUUUGCACAAACGCACAAACGGCAAUCCCAACAGACUCUCCAGGGCCCAGCUACUCCACGCUCCCACGGGCAAAUGUUUGGGACCAAGAGAGACCCUCGUUAACUCCCCAGUACCAGGCACAGGGCAGCAGCUUGGGAGAUCAGUCCCUACCAUCUUCCUGCCCUUUCCUGGGAACACUGCCAAUCACAGCCUGCUCCAGGCUGGGGCGUGGAAGUGGACCUCCUGGGAGUAUGGAAUGAGAAAGCUUGUAGGGCGGCCUGUUUCCUGUGGGUCACCAAGAUCGGCUGAGACAGGGCAGCUGUGGGACCUUGGGGCCAGGCCGGGCAGAACCGGAGAAACCUUCCGGCUACAGUUGUGGAACCUGUUUUAAGAGAUGCAAUAUGACCAGCCACCUCAGGCUCCGGCUGCCGUGCUGUGGUCACUAAUCUCGGUUGUCAACUUGACACGCCCAGGAAGAGAGAACCUCAAUUGAAUGGCUUCCGUCAAACCUGGCCUGUAGUCGCUAACUGAUGGAGGAGGGCCCAGUCCACUGUGGGUGGCGGCAUCCCCACACAAGUGGUCCUGGGCUAGAAGAGAGGUAGCUGGAUGUGAGCCUCAGAGCAUGCAGGUCAAUAAGCAGCAUUCCUCCUCUGUGGUUUUUUUUGUUUUGUUUUGUUUUGUUGUUUGUUUGUUUGUUUGU